AUUGAACGCUGGCGGCAGGCCUAACACAUGCAAGUCGAGCGGAUGAAGGGAGCUUGCUCCUGGAUUCAGCGGCGGACGGGUGAGUAAUGCCUAGGAAUCUGCCUGGUAGUGGGGGAUAACGUCCGGAAACGGGCGCUAAUACCGCAUACGUCCUGAGGGAGAAAGUGGGGGAUCUUCGGACCUCACGCUAUCAGAUGAGCCUAGGUCGGAUUAGCUAGUUGGUGGGGUAAAGGCCUACCAAGGCGACGAUCCGUAACUGGUCUGAGAGGAUGAUCAGUCACACUGGAACUGAGACACGGUCCAGACUCCUACGGGAGGCAGCAGUGGGGAAUAUUGGACGAUGGGCGAAAGCCUGCUCCAGCCAUGCCGCGUGUGUGAAGAAGGUCUUCGGAUUGUAAAGCACUUUAAGUUGGGAGGAAGGGCAGUAAGUUAAUACCUUGCUGUUUUGACGUUACCAACAGAAUAAGCACCGGCUAACUUCGUG
rnacentral:rRNA from 1 species